GUGGCUGUGGCUUAGUGGUAGAGCACUUGCCUAGCAUGCAUGAGGCACUGGGUUUGAUCCUAAGCACCACU
rnacentral:tRNA from 1 species